GAAGAGAUCAACGACAAGCCGACCUGUGUAGUAAAUGAUGCCCCGUCCUGCGAGGGCUUCGAAUUCAUGGGUAUCUGUCACACCAAAAACUGGACAGCUUCUGCUACUCUCCAAGACAGUGGCUCUGGCAUGCAGAAGGUCUACCGAAGCCGGAGGGUUUCUCGUCUCUCGUCGACGACUUCACCCGCGGGUCAACGGAUCCGAUUAGGGCGUCUUUCGUCGCUCCUGCUGCCUCCUCCAGGUGGCGGACAUCAUCGGCGUCGACGUCGUCGGCAACGUCGGCAAAUGCCAGAUAGACAUGGGCGUUCUGGGAGGCGUGAUAUACGACUUCCAAGUCAUCGAAGUUGGAAUCACUUGGGCGUACUUGAGAUGGAGCCUCACUCCUAACGCCAUCGAGGUCCACAAAUACACUCUGGUUGAUAACGACGACUAUACCUGGGAGUUCCCGUGCAAGACGGAGACAUGCUACCGUAACGUAACGGACCUCGAACCCUGCCUUCUGCAAAACUUCAAACUGUCGCCCGUCUUCACCGU